rnacentral:rRNA from 1 species
UACGUAGGGCGCAAGCGUUAUCCGGAAUUAUUGGGCGUAAAGAGCUCGUAGGCGGUUUGUCGCGUCUGCCGUGAAAGUCCGGGGCUCAACUCCGGAUCUGCGGUGGGUACGGGCAGACUAGAGUGAUGUAGGGGAGACGUGGAAUUCCUGGUGUAGCGGUGAAAUGCGCAGAUAUCAGGAGGAACAGCCGAUGGCGAAGGCAGGUCUCUGGGCAUUAACUGACGCUGAGGAGCGAAAGCAUGGGGAGCGAACAGG